rfam:Dipodomys ordii contig_5636, whole genome shotgun sequence.
GGGAAUGUGGCUUAGUGAUAGAGUGCUUGUCUAGCAUGCAAGAAAACCUGGGUUUGAUUUCUCAGUACCA